rnacentral:rRNA from 1 species
UACGUAGGGGGCAAGCGUUAUCCGGAUUUACUGGGUGUAAAGGGAGCGCGGGCGGCAGGAUGAGUCUGAUGUGAAAACCCGCGGCUCAACCACGGGAUUGCAUUGGAAACUGUCCAGCUAGAGUGUCGGAGAGGUAAGCGGAAUUCCUAGUGUAGCGGUGAAAUGCGUAGAUAUUAGGAGGAACACCAGUGGCGAAGGCGGCUUACUGGACGAUGACUGACGCUGAGGCUCGAAAGCGUGGGGAGCAAACAGG